ACUUAAUUCUUCAGGACAUCAAUGUUAUAUAUAUUAUGUGAUCAAAUAUAGUAUUGUGAUCCGUUUAAUACAUUGGAAAUGAAAACAUUUUAAAGAUGAACCUUGUGCACAUUUUCAAUACCACUUGAUUCAAAACACCAUAAAUGGAUUAAAGACGACACUUUACAAUGCUGCUAUAACAAAUUAUUGACAAAAGAAGAAGGAACGAAAAUGACACAGGUGCCAGAAAAUCGGGUCAAUUUAAUUCGUUUGCAGAUGUUAAUUAUUGAUGGAGGCCAGUCUGUUUUGAGAGAUAUUGUUGACAAGACACUUAUUGCGCAAGGCACAACUCUAAAUGCAUGUUUGAAUCAAGAGAAAACAAAAAUUAUAUAUUUGAAAAGUCAAAGAAUUAUUUCAUCGAAACAAUAUGACAUAUUUUUUCCAACCGGUGGGAAAAUUCCAAAUACGACAGAUAUGGACACCACACUUAUCAUUUGUCUUCUAAGGUCUCUGAAGUGUUUUCGACUGAAUGGCAAAUUUGACUGGAGAGCAAAACCAAAAUCAACCGAUCUAUCAGUUGAGGCAGAUUUAUAUCGGUUAAAAGAUUACCGAAAUGAAAUAAGUCAUAUCAAGACAACAACUGAAAUACAACCAAAUGUUUUUGUCAAUUGGUGGAAUGACAUCGAGCAG